AGCUUUUUGAAUCCGUGCAGAGAUUUCGUCAGACUCCAACUCACUAGCGUCGAUCAGACUUCCAAGAUAAGUGGAGUU
rfam:Schistosoma haematobium scaffold529_3, whole genome shotgun sequence.